AGAGACGCUAGGCCGGCACUGCCUAGGUGGGCCGGGCGGUGCGAGGGUCGCCUUUCAGCCUUUACCUCUACCCACUGAAAUGGAGUAGGUCGGUGAGCGCCGAUCUGCUGGAGAAUCUCAUUAUCCCAUCGGCGCUCUGCCUGCUCCUGGCCUCCAAGCCUCUGAAGCCCCUCGGGUUUCAGCUGCCGGCUACCCUCGAGCCCGUGGUGCCCACGAGAGAGGCGACUUUACGUCAGCGGCCCUGGGCUGAGAUUUGAGAACGCGACCAAGUGGAGAAUGUUGGAGCCAGAUUUUAAAAUCCUUGUCUUCCUUCUGCGUGCUACUUGAUCUAAAUGAGAUACGGCAAAGUCACAGAACCUGUUUUUAUGUUUUUGCCUGAUUCAUACGGGCUUCUCCGGUGAAGAUGGGCCUGAAGUAACGCUUGGGUUGCUUCUGACGUUAUAACUCAUCCUGUAGCUGCAGCAACCGUGGUCCUUGCAACCUCAUAAAAAUGUUGCCAGCAUUGUUUCGAUAGUGCUGCUUAAUUCUUGGAAGGCCUCUUUGCUUUCUUCCCUGAGGUUCUUCGGACUUCACACAUUCCAGCAGUAGCUCUCUCAGCUCCUGUCCUGCACAGCUUUGAAGUGCUGGUGAUGUCAUUGAACUCUUAAGUGCAAGAUGAAACAAGUCUUUCUGGGGUUCUAAGUAGGACACAGCCCUGGUGAUGGCUUUCUGAG
rnacentral:lncRNA from 1 species